GGACUAUCCUGCAGGUUAAACGAAUCGCCUUAGAGUUUGAUCAUGGCUCAGGACGAACGCUGGCGGCGUGCCUAAUACAUGCAAGUCGAACGCAAAACUUUUAACUGAUGCUUGCAUCGACCUAAAGUUUUGAGUGGCGGACGGGUGAGUAACACGUGGGUAACCUGCCCAUCAGAGGGGGACAACACUUGGAAACAGGUGCUAAUACCGCAUAAUACAGAGAACCGCAUGGUUCUCUGUUGAAAGGCGCUUCUGGUGUCGCUGAUGGAUGGACCCGCGGUGCAUUAGCUAGACGGUGAGGUAACGGCUCACCGUGGCGAUGAUGCAUAGCCGACCUGAGAGGGUGAUCGGCCACAUUGGGACUGAGACACGGCCCAAACUCCUACGGGAGGCAGCAGUAGGGAAUCUUCGGCAAUGGACGAAAGUCUGACCGAGCAACGCCGCGUGAGUGAAGAAGGUUUUCGGAUCGUAAAACUCUGUUGUUAGAGAAGAACAGGAGCGAUAGUAACUGCUCGCUCUUUGACGGUAUCUAACCAGAAAGCCACGGCUAACUACGUGCCAGCAGCCGCGGUAAUACGUAGGUGGCAAGCGUUGUCCGGAUUUAUUGGGCGUAAAGCGAGCGCAGGCGGUCUCUUAAGUCUGAUGUGAAAGCCCACGGCUUAACCGUGGAGGGUCAUUGGAAACUGGGGGACUUGAGUGCAGAAGAGGAAAGUGGAACUCCAUGUGUAGCGGUGGAAUGCGUAGAUAUAUGGAAGAACACCAGUGGCGAAGGCGGCUUUCUGGUCUGUAACUGACGCUGAGGCUCGAAAGCGUGGGGAGCAAACAGGAUUAGAUACCCUGGUAGUCCACGCCGUAAACGAUGAGUGCUAAGUGUUGGAGGGUUUCCGCCCUUCAGUGCUGCAGCUAACGCAUUAAGCACUCCGCCUGGGGAGUACGACCGCAAGGUUGAAACUCAAAGGAAUUGACGGAA
rnacentral:rRNA from 1 species